UUGAACGCUGGCGGAAUGCUUUACACAUGCAAGUCGAGCGGCAGCGCGGGGGCAACCCUGGCGGCGAGCGGCGAACGGGUGAGUAAUACAUCGGAACGUACCCAGUUGUGGGGGAUAGCCCGGCGAAAGCCGGAUUAAUACCGCAUACGCCCUGAGGGGGAAAGCGGGGGACCUUCGGGCCUCGCGCGAUUGGAGCGGCUGAUGUCGGAUUAGCUGGUUGGUGGGGUAAAGGCCUACCAAGGCGACGAUCCGUAGCUGGUCUGAGAGGAUGAUCAGCCACACUGGGACUGAGACACGGCCCAGACUCCUACGGGAGGCAGCAGUGGGGAAUUUUGGACAAUGGGGGAAACCCUGAUCCAGCCAUUCCGCGUGAGUGAAGAAGGCCUUCGGGUUGUAAAGCUCUUUCAGGAGGGAAGAAACGGUUGCGGCUAAUACCCGCGACUAAUGACGGUACCUUCAGAAGAAGCACCGGCUAACUACGU
rnacentral:rRNA from 1 species